rnacentral:tRNA from 1 species
GCGGGAAUAGCUCAGUUGGUAGAGCACGACCUUGCCAAGGUCGGGGUCGCGAGUUCGAGUCUCGUUUCGUGAU